CAGUAUGAAAACUCACUGUUUUAAAUCAACCUGAUUCUUCCAAUCCUUGGUUUAGCAAAAACCUAGUCAUGGGGACAGGAAUGUUUGGAUAGAACCAUGAAAAUUUCCCAUUUUUUGUUCAUCAAUUUGUAUAACCUGGGUUUGCAUCUAUUUUUAUGGUUAAAAAAGGAAAUUCAUUAUUUCUUGGAUACUUAAGAAUUUAGGCAACAGAAAUUUCAGUAACAAUCAGCUUACAAAAUUUCAACAAAAACAUAAGAAAGAAAUUCAUAAGAUAUGUGUAGAGCAUAACAAUUGGGCAAAAAAUCCUGCAAAAGCUUUAACAGAAGGAAUUGAGGAUGUGUUGCUGUUUGUGCAAGAGGAGGCUGCAAAGGCCCCCUCUCCCACAAAGUUUGAAGCACCUAGGCUCUCAAAAACAAGGUCAAUUGACAUUUUUUGCUUGGAACCCUGAAAAAUGAACUUGUGAAAGAAAAUCUUUGCAAAUAAAAAAUUUCAAAAAAAGUGUUCUUAAAGAUUUCGAAGAAUAACCCAAUAAUGUCUAUGAUUCAUUACAAAAAACAAGAGGACAAUUAAUUUUAAAAAAUAAUGGGGUUGGUUUAGUUGUAGGUGAUGUGAAGAAUAAAAACCAAAGUUUGGCAAAAAUAAGGAAAAAAAAAAUAGUGCUAAAAAAUAAAAGAAAAGUGAUACAAAGAUUUAUUUGGUCCGACAAGUUGCCUACAUUCACAGGGCAGCAAAGUUCUCUUGCACUAAUAAGAAAAAUAUCAUGCAAUCAUGGAGAAUACAAGGGAUUACACCUUCUCUCUAUCUCAAGCUCUAAAACAUAGUCUUUCUCUCACUAGAAUACCCAUUCAAGGACUAAAGAACUAACUCUUUUAUUUUGAUUUUUUUUUUGCAUUAUAUUCUUGUUCUACAAAGCACACUUUAUAAAGAGAAGAAACCCAUGAGACUCACAUGAGCCUCACUCUCCAAUUCCUAUUUUGAUUAGGCCUCCUAUUUCUCAUAGACUACCGCCGUGAGACAUCAUCUUUACCCAUAAAUUUCCCACAUCUACUAGGAUUUAGUUUCCCUACCAAAAUAGGAGCUAACAAUGGAUGGGAUAUGGAUCGUGUGAGUCCCAAUACUAGAUACCCAUAAAAUAGGAAACAACUUCCUACUUUAAUGGAAAUUGGCUUCACGUAAUUAACAUUCUCCCAUUUGAAGAUAUGUUUCUAUUUUGACUCGUCUGCUCCAAGAAAUUUAUGCCCACCAGUUAUUAAUUAUCAAGUAAAGACUAGCCCCAAGGAAGUCCUGCACCAGGUGAACUUCCCUUUUCCAAUGGGCUUAGUUAACAUAUCCGAUGGAUUGUCAUCAGUAUGAAUUUUUGCCAUAAAAUAUUUCCAUCUUCUACCACAUCACUAAUGAAGUGUUAGAACAUCAAUAUGUUAAUUUGCAUCGACAUAUUCAAUCGCUU
rnacentral:lncRNA from 1 species